rnacentral:tRNA from 5 species
GCGGGAAUAGCUCAGUUGGUAGAGCACGACCUUGCCAAGGUCGGGGUCGCGAGUUCGAGUCUCGUCUCCCGCUCCA